AAGUCGUAACAAGGUUUCCGUAGGUGAACCUGCGGAAGGAUCAUUACCGAGUUCUCGGGCUUCGGCUCGAAUCUCCCACCCUUUGUGAACAUACCUCUGUUGCUUUGGCGGCUCUUUGCCGCGAGGAGGCCCUCGCGGGCCCCCCGCGCGCUUUCCGCCAGAGGACCUUCAAACUCCAGUCAGUAAACGUCGACGUCUGAUAAACAAGUUAAUAAACUAAAACUUUCAACAACGGAUCUCUUGGUUCUG
rnacentral:misc_RNA from 1 species